CACUUCAACAGCCAGGUCGCCGACAGCAAAAAAAAGCCACAACCUUCGGUUGCACAUUGUGCACGGACUUGAAAAUCGAUUGGAACGCUUUAGUUAAGAAUACUUCAACUAGGAUUUUUGAUGCUAGGGAGUAUCGCAUGUUAUGGCGCCAUUUAGCUUAUCAUCACGCUUUGCUUGAUACUUUCUAAUAUACCCAUCACCCUCUGGAAGGAAUCUUGUAUUAAUCCCACGAGGAACAUAUAUAUUGGGGCCUACAGUGUUGAAAGGACCAUGCAAGGGCCAAGGGAAUUUCAGAUCAUGGGACACUAAAAGCUCUUACAUAUAAAACAUCUACUAUUAAUGUUAACCAUUGGAUCACCUUUCAAUACAUAGACCGGUUGGUACUCAGGGGUGGUGGAAAAUUUGAUGGCCAAGGUCCCUCUGUUUGGGAUGACACUACUUGCAGUAAAAUUCCGAACUGCAAAGCUCUUCCCAUUUUGUUGAGAUUUGAUUUCAUCACCAAUUCAAGGAUUACUCAACUAACUUCAAUCAACAGCAAGAAUGCCCACAUCAAUGUUUUCGCAUGCAAAGAUAUGAAAUUUGAUCAGAUCCAUAUAAUAGCACCCAAAGAUAGCCCCAACACCGAUGGAAUACACAUUGGUUCAUCUAGCAAUAUUGAAAUCAUGGAUUCAACAAUAGCCACCGGAGAUGAUUGUGUAUCCCUGGUUCUAAAAACAUAAACAUUAGGAAUGUAACGUGGGGCCCGGGUCAUGGAAUCAGUGUUGGAAGCCUUGUUGGGGGACCUAAUGAAGAAGAUGUUAGUGGAUUAACAGUGACUAAUUGCACAUUCAUUGGCACUCAAAAUGGCUUGAGGGUCAAAACAUGGGCUAGGUCUUAUGCAAGCAAUGUUUUCAAUCUUACCUUUGAAGACAUCUUAUGGAUAAUGUCAACAACCCAAUCAUCAUUGAUCAACAAUAUUGUCCAUCUCACAAUUGUGAAACGGAUGACUCCCAAAUUCAGAUUCGAGAUGUUUAGUACAGAAACAUUAGGGGCACCUCUAGCUCAAAAAUUGCAGUUGCUUUUGAAUGUAGCAAAGGCAAACCUUGUGAAAAGAUUGAGCUCAACAACAUUAACCUAACUCACCAUGGUGCUGAAGGAGCUGUAGCAUCCUUAUGUUCAAAUGACAAAGGUAUUGCUAAUGGUCAACAACAACCCGGAUUUUGCAUAUAGCACUCCUGCUUGUAGCACAAUUCUUGAAAUCAAGACAAAUUCAAGUUUAAUAAUCCAACACUCAACCUACGUUCUGUUGACAAUAUUUUUUUGUACUUGAUAUUAAUGCUUAUCUACAAGAAAUGUUGUAGCUGUGAUGUAUUCCACUUUCGUACUUGUAAGUGACUCUAAAAUUUGAUUCUAAAAAAGCAAGUUCCAUUGAA